rnacentral:rRNA from 1 species
CAAUAGCGUAUAUUUAAGUUGUUGCAGUUAAAAAGCUCGUAGUUGGAUUUCGGGUGGGACGCAGCGGUCUCGCAUUGCGUUUGUACUGCUGCAGCCCUCCUUCUUGCCGGGGGCGGCCUCUCGGACUUCACUGUCUGGGGGUCAGAAUCGGCGAUGUUACUUUGAGUAAAUUAGAGUGUUCAAAGCAGGCUUACGCUCUGAAUAUAAUAGCAUGGGAUAACACGACAGGACUCUGGCCUAUCGUGUUGGUCUAUAGGACCAGAGUAAUGAUUAAGAGGGACAGUCGGGGGCAUUCGUAUUCCGUUGUCAGAGGUGAAAUUCUUGGAUUUACGGAAGACGAACAUCUGCGAAAGCAUUUGCCAAGGAUGUUUUCAUUGA